CCAGUUCUUUCAUCGUGGAUUUAAAAGCAUUCAACAAAAUUAAAACAUUAAGCUUUAAGUCAUUUUGCAAUUUAUUGCAGUCCGAAGGUGCAGAAUACAUAAAUUCCCUUUUUCCAGUCUCUGUACGGACACUUGGGUCAGAAAGCAUAAAAAAAGUCCUGAGAUCGCAAGGCAUACUGUCCAGUAUCUUUCUGCGAUAUAAAUAUACGGAGGUAUGAUGGGAGCAGACUAACAAUUGCAUAUAAAUUGUAUAUAUAAGUAUAACAAUUGUAUAUAAAAGUAAUCCAAUGUAAAAGUCGACGGGUUGCCAAAGCAGGCCAUCCUACCCGAGAGUAUAGCUCACAAUGGUGAGUCAAGGCUUUGCAAUCUGUAAUAAAUCUCAGGGAAGCAUGGUAAACUGUGUCAAGCAUGUGAAGAGAUUGAGCAGAGGCAUGCAAAAGAUAACCAUAGUCCAACACUGGCAGAAAGGUGGCAGCAACAAGUCUCUCUAAAGUAGGAAUAUAUGUUUGUUUCGGUUACACCACCAUCUAUUUUGAACUAUUCGUGUUUUUUCUAGGUUGUUUUGGGUUACCUUUCUGUAGGUCUAUGCUGGCGACAGCCUGCAUAGCUCAGAUAGUCCUACUGUAAUAAAGAAAACAAUCUAAAAAGAAAACAAAAUAGGCUACACACGCGCGUUGCGGUUGCAUGGAAUAUUUACAAAAGUAACCACAGCAUUAUUCGUGGAUACGCCUUUUCUGUCGCAUGAUAUAGGCUACACCCUACCCUACGUAUGGUCUACGGUGGAGGGGGGAAUCCCGACAGGCGCGACAGAGGAAGACACCGUUGUGGAGUGUGCACUGGAGCUGCGGAACUUUGGGGACUGUUACAACAUAAUGUACAGUCUUCUUGGAACUGUCUUUCUCAACGGACAAGCGGCCCAAGACAGUAAAGUCGACACGGACUCCACGAAGAAAAACAAGACUAAAAAACCGAACAAAUAAAGGUUAGGAGAAACAAAAUGUGGAAGGAUUGCGGCAUCGACUUAACAGAGUCGUUUCUUGUAACUGAAAUAUCUUCUCGACGGCAGAGACCAACCACCUGAGACGAAGAUCAGGCUUUUUUUAAAAGCUUGCAAGAAAAGUUAUCUACUAUAAAAUAAAUUUAAAUAAAAUGUCUAAAAAGGAAGACACCAUUGUGGAGUGUGCACUGGAGCUGCGGAACUUUGGGGACUGUUACAACAUAAUGUACAGUCUUCUUGGCACUGUCUUUCUCAACGGACAAGCGGCCCAAGACAGUAAAGUCGACACGGACUCCAAGAAGAAAAACAAGACUAAAAAACCGAACAAAUAAAGGUUAGGAGAAACAAAAUGUGGAAGGAUUGCGGCAUCGACUUAACAGGUUUUAAUCCUGUGUCAAGUCCAGUCAGAGUUCAUUUUCUGAACUGGAGAGUUCUGGGCCAGAAGAAAUGGGUAUAGUCCUGUUCUGAAUGCCAGACGACAGGUUCAGAUUUGGAACCUCCAACGAAAUUGCAGUAGGCCUGCUGUGUAAAGGAUGUGGAUUCCAAACGACGUUGACUCAGAGAUGGGUGCCAGGUCGUACGUGGAAAGAACUGCCCAACUUUUUUGUUUCAGAAUGUGUUUAUUGAUUUAAAGAAGUGGGCUUACAGACUAUUUUGUGUUCGGUCAUCUUAAGUGGUUUCCGGUGUAAAUGCUAUUUACUGUCGGUAGCUUACAUAUUUAUUCUACAGUAUAAGUGAGCAGUUGUCGCUUAGUGUUUGUUGUUGAUUUGUCUUUUUCUGCCGCGAGGUGGCGGUAUUGAUCCAUUAAUUGUCUAAGUGGCUGCCUUUACCUUUUGACGUUGAAAAUUGAAACACUGCAGCGUUUGGCCACUACCACGACAAACUAGAAGCUGUUCCAGACCUGGAAGCUACAUUUUCUUGCAGAUCUUGCAGUUACCUCUGAAUGAACAACUAACUUGUUAUCCAAAUAUUUUUUCUUUCUACUUAAUAAGCUGCUUCAUUGAAGUGAUUGCAAUGUUAUGGGGAUGAGAUGUGCAGAGGACUUGCUUGGCAUUACAUUCAAACAUCAAUAGGUUUAGCACAACAGUUGGCCAGUCUUAUUGUACGCUGGGCCCAGAAAAAAAUGGUUGUUUUUGUUGUUGGCUCAAUUUGAUAAAUGAAAUUACUUAAUUGAUAAAUUAAGUGACUUCGAUUGAUAAAUUAAGUCACUGUUUCCAAACCCUGGGUCUUGGGGCACUGUUUAAGCAAGGUAUUGUUCCAGCUGCUUUUAAUUAAUUAGGUUCAGUUAUAUAUAACUGUAUAUAUCAGCAUGAUUGUUAAUUUGCUGCAACGGUGUGUUGUAGGAGAGUGGAGUGCUAAUUAAUCUAAGCAAAGAUCUGUUAUUGUCUUAAUGUUUUU